GGGUGGGUUACAACCCACGAUCUGGACUACGAUCGGAUUUCGAGAUUGCCUUCACCUUUCGGUGUCGGAUCCCAUUGUCCCGACCUUUGUAGCGCGCGUGUAGCCCGGGAGAUUCGGGGCAUACGGACCUAUCGUUGCCCCCUCCUUCCUCUGACUUAGCGCCAGCGGUACCCUUAAUGUUCCCCACCCCCGGAGGGAUGGCUGGCAAUUAAGGGGCAGGGGGUCUUGUUCCGUNAUCUGGACUUAACAGAACCGCCUUAACGGGUACGAAACCUGAACC
rnacentral:rRNA from 1 species